rnacentral:lncRNA from 1 species
AUGUGAGACUCGAGAGGAUGAAAAGUGAUAUCGCAAGGUGAGAUUCCUAUUACCGCAGGAUGAUAUCUCGAGUAGGUCUCAAGUCAGAAGGAGCACAGCAUACAACGAAGAUGAGAUCGAGCAGCCUGGCUCGACUCCCAUGUUUGUCCAUCCAUGAUCAGUAGGUGAUUGUCCUAGGAUAUGUGGGCGAGAAGAUUCAGAAGCUCUCGG